GUGCUCACUUCAGCAGCAUAUAUACUAAAAUUGGAACAAUACAGAGAUUAGCAUGGCCCCUGAACUAGGAUGACAUACAAAUUCGUGAGGGGUUCCGUAUUUUU
ensembl:snRNA U6 U6 spliceosomal RNA